rnacentral:lncRNA from 1 species
AAGGUAAACAAGUAGUGGAACUUUAUACAUUCUAUGUGUUAUACCCCUACCUUGACCUGGACACAUGGCAUCACUAGCGGCGGACGGCCCUCCAAAUUACUCCACUUGGCUGGUCACUGAGUUACUUGCUGCCCGCAUGCUUCACCCUUCAUCAGGCCACCUGCUGAAUAGCGGACCCUCCUUUAGGCCACCUGCUUUUUAGUUCAUUUGUAUGAUCUUUACGGUUUGGUACCCGGUCCGGGAUUUUAAAGUAUAUAUGCUCAUAUUUUGCAACUAAUUGCAGUUUGGAGCAUAACCUUCCUGAUAGUCCGUUUGCGUCUCCUGGGAAAGCCUCUAAAGA